rnacentral:rRNA from 1 species
UCCGGAGGAUGCAAUCGUUAUCCGGAAUGAUUGGGCGUAAAGCGUCCGUAGGUGGCUGUGUAAGUCUAUUGUCAAAGCGUCAUGCUUAACAUGAUAAGGGCGGUAGAAACUACACAGCUAGAGUGCACUCGGGGCAGAGGGAAUUCCUGGUGUAGCGGUGAAAUGCGUAGAGUUCAGGAAGAACACCGGUGGCGAAAGCGCUCUGCUAGGCUGCAACUGACACUGAGGGACGAAAGCUAGGGGAGAGAAUGGG